UGGGGAAUAUUGCGCAAUGGGGGAAACCCUGACGCAGCAACGCCGCGUGAGUGACGAAGGCCUUCGGGUCGUAAAGCUCUGUCGGAGGGGGAAGAAACUACCAAUGGCUAACAUCCAUAGGUAUUGACGGUACCCUCAAAGGAAGCACCGGCUAACUCCGUGCCAGCAGCCGCGGUAAUACGGAGGGUGCAAGCGUUGUUCGGAAUUACUGGGCGUAAAGCGCGUGUAGGCGGCUAAUUAUGUCAGGUGUGAAAUCCCCGGGCUUAACCUGGGAAUUGCGCUUGAAACUAUGCGGCUAGAGUGUGGCAGAGGGGGGUGGAAUUCCACGUGUAGCAGUGAAAUGCGUAGAGAUGUGGAGGAACACCGAUGGCGAAGGCAGCCCCCUGGGCCAACACUGACGCUCAGGCACGAAAGCGUGGGGAGCAAACAGGAUUAGAUACCCAUGUAGUCCCUGAGCGGGCUGGCAAGGCGCAU
rnacentral:rRNA from 1 species